rnacentral:rRNA from 1 species
UACGUAGGGUGCGAGCGUUGUCCGGAAUCAUUGGGCGUAAAGAGCUCGUAGGCGGCCGGUUGCGUCUGCUGUGAAAUCCCGGGGCUUAACCCCGGGCGUGCAGUGGAUACGGGCUGGCUGGAGGCAGGCAGGGGAGAAUGGAAUUCCCGGUGUAGCGGUGAAAUGCGCAGAUAUCGGGAGGAACACCGGUGGCGAAGGCGGUUCUCUGGGCCUGUGCUGACGCUGAGGAGCGAAAGCGUGGGGAGCGAACAGG